UUAACGCUCCUAGAAUGUCACGGCUGUAUUAUACUAAGAUCACAAUUUACUAAACUAUAAUGGUUAUCUUUCUUCCCUUACCAUUCUUCUAAAAAAAGAAUCAGAUGAAGAUUGUCUCUGAAUUGGAACAAUUUCCGUCCUGAGGGGAUGGAAGGUCACAGUGGCCCCCUAUGUUGUCACCAGUUGAUCUUUGACUCUUUAAGGAAAGCUGAAUGAACAGCCUGUGAGUCAGAGAAUGUGGACAGUGAGUGAGGUUUGCCAUCAGCAAGGACCAUGUUACUGCUCUCCUUUCACAAGAUUCUCAAAUGCUGUUACCAGGAUGGAUGUUGGAGAAAUGAACCAAGAGCACCGUGCUGGCUUCAGAACCGAUACCCUGGAGGAACUGUCGCAUCUGUCAUCCCAUGCUUUUCAGUCCUUUGGAUGUUUGGCGUCUCGGGGCUACUGGAGACGCCUAUGAGCUGGCUUGGGAUGGCUUUAGCCAUUAUAGAAGUGAUACUAUUAGCCUAAGAUUUUUUUUCUUCUGUUUUUCUUCUAUAUGUCCCUGCAGUUAUUUUGAGAGGCAAAUGGAAGGGAAAGAAAUACAGAGAAGUGUGGAGAAAUAAGAAGCUUGGGGAUAACAGAAAUCCUGUAACAGAGUAUGGGUAUGUGAGAAAUAUGUGCUAUUGUUUUCUUUCUCUAAGACCUUGAAUAUGUUAAUAGCCAUGCCAGGAAACAAUGUAAGCUUAGAACCAACCCCUUGAUUAAAGACAACGUGAGUCUUUCCACAUUCUUCCCCCACUGCACAUGCAUCACAUGGUUGAUCUUUACAGAUGUUCACCCCUUUAUUUUUAUGAGAGCAAAAUGGUCCCCAUCACCCUCCAGGGGUGUCCAUACUGUGUUUCUCCUCCUUUCGUAAAUAAAAGAUGUAAUCUGAAACCAA